GGGUUGUGAGGUUAAGCGACUAAGCGUACACGGUGGAUGCCCUGGCAGUCAGAGGCGAUGAAGGGCGUGCUAAUCUGCGAUAAGCGCCGGUAAGGUGAUAUGAACCGUUAUAACCGGCGAUACCCGAAUGGGGAAACCCAGUGUGACUCGUCACACUAUCAUUAACUGAAUCCAUAGGUUAAUGAGGCGAACCGGGGGAACUGAAACAUCUAAGUACCCCGAGGAAAAGAAAUCAACCGAGAUUCCCCCAGUAGCGGCGAGCGAACGGGGAGGAGCCCAGAGCCUGAAUCAGCAUGUGUGUUAGUGGAAGCGUCUGGAAAGGCGCGCGAUACAGGGUGACAGCCCCGUACACAAAAGCGCAUGUGCUGUGAGCUCGAUGAGUAGGGCGGGACACGUGGUAUCCUGUCUGAAUAUGGGGGGACCAUCCUCCAAGGCUAAAUACUCCUGACUGACCGAUAGUGAACCAGUACCGUGAGGGAAAGGCGAAAAGAACCCCGGCGAGGGGAGUGAAAAAGAACCUGAAACCGUGUACGUACAAGCAGUGGGAGCACAGGUUUACCUGUGUGACUGCGUACCUUUUGUAUAAUGGGUCAGCGACUUAUAUUCUGUAGCAAGGUUAACCGAAUAGGGGAGCCGGAGGGAAACCGAGUCUUAAUUGGGCGUUAAGUUGCAGGGUAUAGACCCGAAACCCGGUGAUCUAGCCAUGGGCAGGUUGAAGGUUGGGUAACACUAACUGGAGGACCGAACCGACUAAUGUUGAAAAAUUAGCGGAUGACCUGUGGCUGGGGGUGAAAGGCCAAUCAAACCGGGAGAUAGCUGGUUCUCCCCGAAAGCUAUUUAGGUAGCGCCUCGUGAAUUCAUCUCCGGGGGUAGAGCACUGUUUCGGCUAGGGGGCCAUCCCGGCUUACCAACCCGAUGCAAACUGCGAAUACCGGAGAAUGUUAUCACGGGAGACACACGGCGGGUGCUAACGUCCGUCGUGAAGAGGGAAACAACCCAGACCGCCAGCUAAGGUCCCAAAGUCAUGGUUAAGUGGGAAACGAUGUGGGAAGGCCCAGACAGCCAGGAUGUUGGCUUAGAAGCAGCCAUCAUUUAAAGAAAGCGUAAUAGCUCACUGGUCGAGUCGGCCUGCGCGGAAGAUGUAACGGGGCUAAACCAUGCACCGAAGCUGCGGCAGCGACACUCAGGUGUUGUUGGGUAGGGGAGCGUUCUGUAAGCCUGUGAAGGUGUGUCGUGAGGCAUGCUGGAGGUAUCAGAAGUGCGAAUGCUGACAUAAGUAACGAUAAAGCGGGUGAAAAGCCCGCUCGCCGGAAGACCAAGGGUUCCUGUCCAACGUUAAUCGGGGCAGGGUGAGUCGACCCCUAAGGCGAGGCCGAAAGGCGUAGUCGAUGGGAAACCAAGGGUUCCUGUCCAACGUUAAUCGGGGCAGGGUGAGUCGACCCCUAAGGCGAGGCCGAAAGGCGUAGUCGAUGGGAAACAGGUUAAUAUUCCCGUACUUGGUGUUACUGCGAAGGGGGGACGGAGAAGGCUAUGUUGGCCGGGCGACGGUUGUCCCGGUUUAAGCGUGUAGGUGUGUGUUCCAGGUAAAUCCGGUUCACUUUAACACUGAGGCGUGAUGACGAGGCACUACGGUGCUGAAGCAACAAAUGCCCUGCUUCCAGGAAAAGCCUCUAAGCAUCAGGUAACAUCAAAUCGUACCCCAAACCGACACAGGUGGUCAGGUAGAGAAUACCAAGGCGCUUGAGAGAACUCGGGUGAAGGAACUAGGCAAAAUGGUGCCGUAACUUCGGGAGAAGGCACGCUGACACGUAGGUGAAGUGAUUUACUCAUGGAGCUGAAGUCAGUCGAAGAUACCAGCUGGCUGCAACUGUUUAUUAAAAACACAGCACUGUGCAAACACGAAAGUGGACGUAUACGGUGUGACGCCUGCCCGGUGCCGGAAGGUUAAUUGAUGGGGUCAGCGCAAGCGAAGCUCCUGAUCGAAGCCCCGGUAAACGGCGGCCGUAACUAUAACGGUCCUAAGGUAGCGAAAUUCCUUGUCGGGUAAGUUCCGACCUGCACGAAUGGCGUAAUGAUGGCCAGGCUGUCUCCACCCGAGACUCAGUGAAAUUGAACUCGCUGUGAAGAUGCAGUGUACCCGCGGCAAGACGGAAAGACCCCGUGAACCUUUACUAUAGCUUGACACUGAACAUUGAGCCUUGAUGUGUAGGAUAGGUGGGAGGCUUUGAAGUGUGGACGCCAGUCUGCAUGGAGCCGACCUUGAAAUACCACCCUUUAAUGUUUGAUGUUCUAACGUGGACCCGUAAUCCGGGUUGCGGACAGUGUCUGGUGGGUAGUUUGACUGGGGCGGUCUCCUCCUAAAGAGUAACGGAGGAGCACGAAGGUUGGCUAAUCCUGGUCGGACAUCAGGAGGUUAGUGCAAUGGCAUAAGCCAGCUUGACUGCGAGCGUGACGGCGCGAGCAGGUGCGAAAGCAGGUCAUAGUGAUCCGGUGGUUCUGAAUGGAAGGGCCAUCGCUCAACGGAUAAAAGGUACUCCGGGGAUAACAGGCUGAUACCGCCCAAGAGUUCAUAUCGACGGCGGUGUUUGGCACCUCGAUGUCGGCUCAUCACAUCCUGGGGCUGAAGUAGGUCCCAAGGGUAUGGCUGUUCGCCAUUUAAAGUGGUACGCGAGCUGGGUUUAGAACGUCGUGAGACAGUUCGGUCCCUAUCUGCCGUGGGCGCUGGAGAACUGAGGGGGGCUGCUCCUAGUACGAGAGGACCGGAGUGGACGCAUCACUGGUGUUCGGGUUGUCAUGCCAAUGGCACUGCCCGGUAGCUAAAUGCGGAAGAGAUAAGUGCUGAAAGCAUCUAAGCACGAAACUUGCCCCGAGAUGAGUUCUCCCUGAGACUUAGAGUCUCCUGAAGGAACGUUGAAGACGACGACGUUGAUAGGCCGGGUGUGUAAGCGCAGCGAUGCGUUGAGCUAACCGGUACUAAUGAACCGUGAGGCUUAACCUUACAACGCCGAAG
rnacentral:rRNA from 1 species